rnacentral:lncRNA from 1 species
UUCUAAUGAACUCCGUUGUUAUGAUGAAGUCCUUAGGACUAUUUAAGUUCGAUAAAGAGAGGAUUUAUCGAUUAGUCCCUAAAACUGUUCACGACCAAAUGAUAAACUGUUAAUAAGGACGACAGCUUCUAUCGAGCAUAGGUCGCUGUAGGCUAUAUGGGUUGGUUGUCCUCUUAACCAAAGAGUGUGGAGACACUGGUAUGGCAUACAGGUGAGAUGUAAGGGUACAUCAUCAUUGAACGUGACCAACUCCAGAGCAUUCUGCUGUCAAGAAUGUCUCUGAUGGGAUAUAGGUAUAAGUGUCCCUUAGACCUGAGAUCGUCUCAGUGACUUGCAAGCAACUCACUGUGCUUUGGUACUGAACUAACUGAAUUUUUAAUUCAAAAAUGGAAGGCUUCUGGGCACAGUCAAGUACUUGCAAAGUCAGAGUGUGAUCGAGAUGGGAUUGACCACUCCAAGAGUUGGAAAAGAAUGAGUCGCUGUAUUUCAAUUUAGCAAAAUCUUGGCCAGGGUAAUCCAUCAGAUGGAUUUGAUAUUUUGAAAUACAAUGUGGACAACCUGAUCAGAGUUGACAGUUGAGCUCUGGGGUGUCCUAUGAUCAUUUUGGUCAAG